rnacentral:tRNA from 1 species
AGGUCAGGGCCAUAGAGCCCGCCCAAGCGCCGUCGCUUCCCAAGCUGAGAGCGCGAGUUCGAUUCUCGUCACCCGCUCCA